rnacentral:lncRNA from 1 species
AGAGAUCAAGAAUGGAAAAAUCACACAACGAAAAAAAAAAGGAAACAAAUUAAAGAAAUACUUAACGUUCUCUUUUUUUCUCAGUUUACAGCCAAAAAACUACAUCAUCAUUAAAUUCUUCACAAAAAAGGAAUUAAAAAUGCUACCCUUUCAUUUGGUGCUUGAUUUUUGAACCAUAGGAUAAAUUUUCUUCUUCUUCUUCUCAUUAUUAUUGCCUUUGUUUUCUUUUGUUUUUUCGUUCUCCAUCUUUUUCUGAUUCUCCUUUAAACGCUUUUGCUGCACAUAAAGAUGGCCAUAGCUUAGCCCCAUUGAAGACAUAGUUACAAUAAAAUGUACUCUC